UAAAACACACACAUACUCAUAUACACAUUCCACAAUAAACUCCGGGACCAAUAAAAACGGCACACACACACACACACACACACACACACACGGACACAAACACACAUAUAUACACACAUACAUAGAGAUGUGCACAGAACCAGUUCCAAAAACCAGUGAACCAUGACAGACUAGCUCACAGACCAACCAAAAAUCAAAAAAUCCUUUUUAACUCUUCCUUCCCCCCACCCCAGCUGGCCAGUCAUAUUGUCUCUUAAGACAGCAAACAUUCCCUCAAUACACACAAUAGAAAAAAGCUAGGUCAGUUCCUCCUCAACUUAUUGCGAACUCUUAAAUAUAUUUCCUGGCAAUGCCAAGUGGUUCCAGAUAAAUUUUAAUAGCAGGGUCGAUUUGCGGUUCUUGAUAUUGCUAAAGGAGAAAAUAUGCUUUGCGUAUCGGACCUUGAAUGUCAUUAUUGUAAAUUGUGCAACUCUACGAUAAUCUUUACUGAUAGGAAGAUUUGUGCGUUAGUUAUGAAGACAUCAUGGUAAACAGUUUUAAUGGAGGCGAACGUCAUGUUGGUACUGGGUAUGGAAAUACUGGGUCUUCAAAUGACCGAUGUGAAUGUAUUGUUAAUAAAAGUAUAAUAUGCCACCACAUAGAAAAUCAACUCGAAUAUUGCAAAUUCUAGAUCAAACAAAACCUUAUGAUAAAGUGUUGUCCGUGUACCAUGGUGAUAAAUAUUGGUGGUAUAGCUACACGACCUGAAAGUCGGUUCUUAAUAUAUCUUUUUUCCACUUUUGUUUCAAAGAACUUUAAUACAGAAUUGUUAUAAUGUAGCGCUCAGGAAACUAAUACCACACAUUACAACAUACAACACAUGUUUUAUCCACCUUUCGUUAUUCACUUCAUUAUUCUUUCAUAAUGCGUUUGUUAUAUGUCCGCUACCUUUAUGUAUGACCAUAUGCUGUAGUUCCACGCUGAUUUACUAGUAUUCACUUGUAUCAAAAUACUCUCAUUAUCUACAACACAAUCCAGGUGUUCAAACAUGUAAUUUCAUAAUUGUAUAAUUACAGAGUUUUAUGUUUUCAUAACA